rnacentral:rRNA from 1 species
UACGAAGGGUGCAAGCGUUAAUCGGAAUUACUGGGCGUAAAGGGUGCGUAGGCGGUCGGGUAAGUCUGAUGUGAAAUCUCACAGCUUAACUGUGAAACUGCAUUGGAUACUAUCCGGCUCGAGGAAUGGAGGGGAGACUGGAAUACUUGGUGUAGCAGUGAAAUGCGUAGAUAUCAGGAGGAACACCGGUGGUGUAGACGGCUCUCUGGACCGUAACUGACGCUGAGGCACGAAAGCGUGGGUAGCAAACAGG